rnacentral:rRNA from 1 species
GACGUAGGGCGCGAGCGUUGUCCGGAUUUAUUGGGCGUAAAGAGCUCGUAGGCGGCUCGUUGCGUCAACCGUGAAAACCCGGGGCUUAACUUCGGGCUUGCGGUUGAUACGGGCGGGCUGGAGUUCGGUAGGGGAGACUGGAAUUCCUGGUGUAGCGGUGAAAUGCGCAGAUAUCAGGAGGAACACCGGUGGCGAAGGCGGGUCUCUGGGCCGAUAUUGACGCUGAGGAGCGAAAGCGUGGGGAGCGAACAGG